UACGUAGGGGGCUAGCGUUGUCCGGAAUUACUGGGCGUAAAGGGCGCGUAGGCGAUUUUAUAAGUCUUGUGUGAAAGCCCCGUGCUUAACGCGGGAAGUGCAUAAGAUACUGUAGGAAUUGAGUUCCGGAGAGGAAGAUGGAAUUCCCGGUGUAGCGGAUGAAUGCGUAGAUAUCGGGAGGAACACCCGUAGCGAAGGCGGCACUCUGGGCCGGAACUGACGCUGAGGAGCGAAAGCGUGGGGAGCAAACAGG
rnacentral:rRNA from 1 species